AGUGAACGCUGGCGGUAGGCCUAACACAUGCAAGUCGAACGGCAGCACAGUAAGAGCUUGCUCUUACGGGUGGCGAGUGGCGGACGAGUGAGGAAUACAUCGGAAUCUACUUUUUCGUGGGGGAUAACGUAGGGAAACUUACGCUAAUACCGCAUACGACCUACGGGUGAAAGCAGGGGAUCUUCGGACCUUGCGCGAUUGAAUGAGCCGAUGUCGGAUUAGCUAGUUGGCGGGGUAAAGGCCCACCAAGGCGACGAUCCGUAGCUGGUCUGAGAGGAUGAUCAGCCACACUGGAAAUGAGACACGGUCCAGACUCCUACGGGAGGCAGCAGUGGGGAAUAUUGGACAAUGGGCGCAAGCCUGAUCCAGACAUACCGCGUGGGUGAAGAAGGCCUUCGGGUUGUAAAGCCCUUUUGUUGGGAAAGAAAAGCAGCAGGUUAAUACCCCGCUGUUCUGACGGUACCCAAAGAAUAAGCACCGGCUAACUUCGUG
rnacentral:rRNA from 1 species